rnacentral:snoRNA from 1 species
GAGACCUAACUUCAUAGGAUCAUUUCUAUAGUAAGUUUUUCACGAGACCUUAUACAUUAAAUACUGAUAUUAAAUUGUAGU